UACGAAGGGGGCUAGCGUUGUUCGGAAUUACUGGGCGUAAAGGGCGCGUAGGCGGCCUGCUAAGUCGAACGUGAAAUCCCUGGGCUCAACCCAGGAGCUGCGUCCGAUACUGGUGGGCUUGAAUCCGGGAGAGGGAUGUGGAAUUCCAGGUGUAGCGGUGAAAUGCGUAGAUAUCUGGAGGAACACCGGUGGCGAAGGCGACAUCCUGGACCGGUAUUGACGCUGAGGCGCGAAAGCCAGGGGAGCAAACAGG
rnacentral:rRNA from 1 species